UUUCAAUAAAAGUUCUAAUUGCACCACUGUUACAAUGUUGUUGGGGUUGACGGGGGCCUGGAGAUUUUUCAUCCUCCAAAGGGGGGUCUGACAGAUAAAGACUGAGAAGCACUGGUCUAUCCUAACUGCUAACC